rnacentral:rRNA from 1 species
CCUACGGGUGGCAGCAGGGAGGAAUAUUGGUCAAUGGACGAGAGUCUGAACCAGCCAAGUAGCGUGAAGGAUGACUGCCCGAUGGGGUGUAAACUUCUUUUAUAAAGGAAUAAAACGAGGCACGUGGGCCGUUUUGCAUGUACGUUAUGAAUAAGGAUCGGCUAACUCCGUGCCAGCAGCCGCGGUAAUACGGAGGAUCCGAGCGUUAUCCGGAUUUAUUGGGUUUAAAGGGAGCGUAGAUGGGUUGUUAAGUCAGUUGUGAAAGUUUGCGGCUCCACCGUAAAAUUGCCAUUGAUACUGGCAGUCUUGCGUACAGUUGAGGUAGGCGGAAUUCGUGUUGUAGCGGUGAACUGCUUAGAUCUCAC